GCGCGAAAACUUUACAAUGCUGGCAACAGCGAUAAGGGAACCUCGAGUGCCAGGUUACAAAUCUGGCUGUCGAGAUGCCUAAAAAGCAUUUCAUAGCAAGGGCCGGGCAAGACCGGUGCCAGCCGCCGCGGUAACACCGGCGGCUCGAGUGGUAACCGUUAUUAUUGGGUCUAAAGGGUCUGUAGCCGGCCGGAUAAGUCCCUUGAGAAAUCUGGCAGCUUAACUGUCAGGCUUUCAGGAGAUACUGUCUGGCUCGAGGCCGGGAGAGGUGAGAGGUACUUCAGGGGUAGGGGUGAAAUCUUGUAAUCCUUGAAGGACCACCAGUGGCGAAGGCGUCUCACCAGAACAGACCUGACGGCAAGGGACGAAAGCUAGGGGCACGAACC
rnacentral:rRNA from 1 species